rnacentral:rRNA from 1 species
ACGGAGGAUGCGAGCGUUAUCCGGAUUUAUUGGGUUUAAAGGGUGCGUAGGCGGUUUAUUAAGUUAGUGGUUAAAUAUUUGAGCUAAACUCAAUUGUGCCAUUAAUACUGGUAAACUGGAGUACAGACGAGGUAGGCGGAAUAAGUUAAGUAGCGGUGAAAUGCAUAGAUAUAACUUAGAACUCCGAUAGCGAAGGCAGCUUACCAGACUGUAACUGACGCUGAUGCACGAGAGCGUGGGUAGCGAACAG